AUGAAGAAAUUUUUUCCUGUGCUUUCUAGAGACAAAGCUACUUCUUCGGUAAAUCUAGAAGCAUCGGAAACUCAACAUCCAAGUGAGAGUAUUAAAGUUGUCGAUUAUGAAUUGUUGGAAACCGAUCCAGGAAUUAGGCCUCCAAUUUCAAGCUAUCAUCCUGACAUCCAAAAUGAGGUAAGGAAAGCUUAUUUAAAAAUAGGUCGUCAUAAACCUCCUUACAAUUUUGUUUACCCUUGGUCUGUUCAAGGUAAUCAAAGACGUAGAUUUUGCAAAAAAUUGGUUUGA